UACGUAGGGGGCAAGCGUUGUCCGGAAUCAUUGGGCGUAAAGCGCGCGUAGGCGGCCCGGUAAGUCCGUUGUGAAAGUCAAAGGCUCAACCUUUGAACGCCGAUGGAUACUGCCGGGCUAGAGUCCGGAAGAGGCGAGUGGAAUUCCUGGUGUGGCGGUGGAAUGCGCAGAUAUCAGGAGGAACACCGGUGGCGAAGGCGGUCUCUGGCCGAUGACUGACGCUGAGGAGCGAAAGCGUGGGAGCAACAG
rnacentral:rRNA from 1 species